rnacentral:lncRNA from 1 species
AUGAACGGAUUUUUUUCUUACUAUUGUAUAGCUGCCCAAGGAAUGCAGUCCAGCAAGCUAUUUGGCUGCCAGGAAGUGGCUCAGCUAGGGUGGCUCUGCCUCCCAGGGGAGGAGGAAGGGUGCUUCAAAAGGUCCCCCAGGCACAGGGCAGCCCCUGCCAAAGCUCACAGAGCCUCAGACACCCACAGUGCCAAGGGGAGCAGCCCUGCCCGAGGGGUCAGGACUCUCAGGAUGGUCCAGACUGGGGCCAGGCUCAGGGGCUUGGAGGCUGGGCCAUGUGGUGCGACAGGGGACAAAAAGUUCUUUGUCCUCUUUUUUCUUCACUCCAUGCUCCCCUGGAGGAAUCCCUGCUGCUCCCCUGGAGGAAUCCCUGCUGAUCCCCAAGGCAGGAAUUUGGGGCCCAUCUCCUUGGUUCCCGCCAGAGGAUGUUCAGAUCCCACGUCUUCCCCAAUCACCUGCUGGCACCUGGCCUCUAUCUCUGCAUACACAGCCUGGCACGUGACAAGGGCACAGGAAGUAGUUCCAGAACCAUCAGUGGCUCCCCACUGCUACAGUCAAGGCCAGGCUUCCAGGAGUGUGCCCGGAGACCACUCACUGAUGAUUCACCCUGCCAGCUCCUGCCAAACCAUGCAGCCAGUGGCCUCCGAGCAGGUCACCUGUGUCCCUGCCCCUGGAGUCUGCCACACCCACCUGCCUGGCCAAUCCCUUCCUUACCUUCGCUGCAAUCUGACCUCACCCUCAGACAGCCGCAUUUGUGUGACACUUUAAAAGGCAAAGCAGAUUCUGUGAGCAUCAUAUCGAUGAAUUCUUACAGCGACUCUGGAGGUGAGUUCAGUCCACUGUGUUCUCUUAUGGAGGAGGGAAGUGAGAUUCAGAGAAGUUAAGCUACUUGCCCAAGGUCACAUGGCAAGAAUGUGAUGAGCUAGGACCUACUUGGAUCCACCUUUAACUCACCUGCAGUCCCAGGAAACGCACCUUCUGGCCUGCCUCCACCCGGCCUGCCCCAGUCCUGGUGCUCACUCUGCUCCCCAACUUCCACCUCAGGACCAUGCCUCCAUUACCCUCCCGGGUCACAUUUCACGGUGCUGAGUCUCUCUCGCCCUCUGUGGCCUUGAGGCCUGGGACACCUUCCCUAUCUUGCUGUCACCAACUCUUCUUUCUCCCAAAUCCUGCUCCAGCUCCUCAGUGACUGCACUGUUUCAGAGCCCGCCCCUUCCCUCACACUUCGAGCUCUGAGACGCAGAGAUGGGGCUGUGUGAGCUGUCCUGAGUCACUAGACCUCUCUGCGCCUCUGUCCCAUCUUUUUCAUGCCCUGGCACAAGGCUGGGAUGUAGGAUGCUGACUGGACUGAGCAGAGCCCCAUGCAUGUUCUCACUGGGCCCCAUCCUGUCUGCCUGGGCUCAGGGUCAUGGCCACAGAUGCUGGUUCUGCCGGUGUGCUGGGAGCAGCUUCUCAAAUGGCUCUCUGAAGGAAAAACAAAACGAAGGCUGACUUGCUGUGUUUGCCAGUGUCUGAGUUGUAACAGUUGGCUCUCCAGAACUGGUAGAGCAGCCAAUUUCAGUGCACUGAUGGCCUCAGAAGUAACAGGUCCGAUCACACUGCAGGGCAGCUGAGGCUCAGGGCUGCAAGUGUACAGCUAGUCGCUUGCAGAGCUGGGGCUAGAAACCUGGAUCUUCUCCUUCUGUAGGUAAGAAGCAUGCACAAGGCCCUGUGACCCGAUAGUGCUCACGGACCUAUGCAAGCAUCAGGCGUGGCUGAAGUGUGCUCUCUGUGUAGCAAGGGCUGCGUUCUUCUUCCAGGAAGCUGGGAGCCCUGGUUCCUGGCUCUGCCUGUGUACAGAGGGCCCCAGGCAGCGGCAUUGGGAUGCUGGCACAGCAGCAAAACAAAUUUCUGGAGAUCCGAACAUCUGUCUGGCAUGGAUCAGAGCUCACACCUGCCUGGCUCUGCAUCCCAAAGCCCUGCUGGCUGCAACCUCUGUUUCCUGGUGAUUUCUGCUUUCUUUUCUGCCAAGUUCCAUCUGCCUUGCCAUCUGUAGUAUGGGGAGCUGCUCACACUAAGCUGUACAGAGCAGUCAGGGGCCUUCAGAGAGGGAAAGCUCUGUUUCAGACAAGAAUGAGCCCAAGGGUGUUCUCUGGGAUCACGAAGACUGUGAGGAUCUGGAGGGCCCUAACUGCUGCCUGGUGAGUUGUACAAUUGAAGAUUGAAAAGUGAGUCUCACUUUUCCCACCUGAAAACUGGGAAUAACUGUUUUUAAGGCUGUUGUGAGCAUCAAAUGCACAGCUGAAAGGAAGUCUGGUCAUUCAGGAAGCAUUAUUUAAAGAGAGAUUAGCAAACUUUUUUCUGUGCCAGACCAGAUGAUAAAUAUCUUUAGUUUUCCAGGACAUUCGGUGUCUGCCGCCACCGUUCAGGGGUCCACUGUAACAUAGCAACCCUAGAUACUGUAUAUGGAUAGAUGCAACUAUGUUUCAAUAACAAUAAAUAUAUAAAAGCAGGUGGCAGGCCAGAGUUGGUGGGGGGGGGGCUAUGAUUUACAGACCCCCUGAUCUAGAAAAAGGAUUUAUCCUUUUUUAACUACCAUCGCCCCAGUUGUCCCCAUGGGCUCUUUCCGGGAGCAGGUGGCUGGUGCAGUGAUCCUGAGGCACACAAGGCUCACAACGGUGAUGUGCUUUGAUCUUUGCUCUCUGCCAUGACUGCUGCUGACAGCAGCUUGCUUUCUUCCUGAACACCCCACCAACCAGGUCUGAGGCCCUUAUAAUGGGCACCCGGGGUCCUGUCGCUGAAGAGUGGAAAAAUGAGUGUGUUUACUCAGAGAGGCCUUCCCUGAGGGCUGGGCCAGGAAGCACCUGGCUUCGACACCCAGACCCUUACCCUGCUUGCUUGAUUUGGGGACAUCUUAAAGACCGGGACUGGUCUUCCAGGGUUUUUCUGUUCACAUCUCUACUGUCAACAGAUGGUUUUGCAAUGUUGGAUGAAUUUAUUGAUGAAAGCAUAAGAGGGCAGAAGUUGAAACUUUCCAAUGCAGUGGAAUUUGAACUGGCCUUUCUCGGAGGGGCAGCUCACGCAUGUCAGCUUCUCUGGCUGGCCAGGGUGGGGGCGGCAGGACUGGAUGCCCAGUUCCUCUCCUGUUCCCUGAUGGCACCCUCAGGGCCACUCCCAGCUCUGUCCGGGCCUCUAGACAAUUCCCUCGAUCCAGUUUGAACAUUACCGGUUUAGGUUAGACUUCCAGCUGCUGGCUGAGUGACCGAGGGCCUGGGGAGAAGGACUGGUGGGCAGGUGGUGACCUCUACGCUCUGUGGGUGGGGUGAGCCAUGGAGCCAGCCCGCCUUCCUG